GACGAACGCUGGCGGCAUGCCUAAUACAUGCAAGUCGAGCGGAUGUUUCAGAGAGCUUGCUCUUUGAAACGUUAGCGGCGGACGGGUGAGUAACACGUGGGCAACCUGCCCUACAGAUGGGGAUAACUCCGGGAAACCGGGGCUAAUACCGAAUAAACAGUUGGUUCGCAUGAACCAACUCUGAAAGACGGUUUCGGCUGUCACUGUAGGAUGGGCCCGCGGCGCAUUAGCUAGUUGGUGGGGUAAUGGCCUACCAAGGCGACGAUGCGUAGCCGACCUGAGAGGGUGAUCGGCCACACUGGGACUGAGACACGGCCCAG
rnacentral:rRNA from 1 species